CACCGUUUGCUCCUCUGGAUGUCACAGAUCACAAUCCAGAGCUUAGGAUCCAGCGGCAGGAUCGUCCAUAUCAAAUGGAUGUCACAGACACAAAACCUGCGCCUAGGUACUGGCAAGCAGAGCGUUCACAUCAAAUGGCUGUCACAGACAGAAGACCUGAGUUUAGGAGCCCACAGAGGGAGUCUUCACGUCAAACAGAACAUGUGUACGAGACAAUGUCACAGAUUUAUGAAGAUAUAUAAAAUCUGCUUUCUUUGUUAAAAGGUUAUCAAAAAAAGGAAGAAUUAUGAAAGUACAUAACCAGUGAGAGGAAGGGAAAAGACUUUUUAUCGCAAGUUUACUGUUUUUUGUUUUGUUUUUCCUGCUGUUAUGUUUCAUAGCUCAAUAAAGACAAAUACAUUUUACACAACCUAUGGACUGCCAAUAAUGUUUAUUGAUAGAUAAAUAAUUGCUUUGACAGCUAUAAUAAUAAAAAGUAUUUAAUAAAUCUUAAUUAAGUCUGACAACAAUACCCUUUUCAAAAAUCUGUCUAUUCCUUUUUAUAUAUAUUAAAAUAGUAUUGAUACUAUUAAUAUAUAAGUCAUAUAUAUUAAUAGUGAAUGUAAGUAUGGAUUCCUUAUAUUCAGUAAGCUUUUAUUUGAAAACAUUAGAGGUUUUGGUUCAGUCUCUAAAAGCAUCUAAUUGUCUCCCUCUAGUGGUUGAAAUCCACAUGACGCUCAAUAAGACACUUUUCCACACUUGACAGAAGUUUGAAAAGAUGCCAGGUGUGUGUGGGCGUGGAGAAUAGAUGUUAAUUUGUUUUUCUCAUGAAUAAGAUAAUGUUUUCAUGGACUUUAGGGAACGUCUGUUUCUUGUUGAAUGUUCAAGCUCUGGAUUUCACAGUUUUAGAUUUUGAACCGGAAAUAUUCACAGAGAAAAUUAUACAGUUUAUUACAACACGGUACUCAUUAACCAUCUCUGGCGGAGUUACAAAGAGAUUUUAUUGUAACACAGCAUUUGAAGUAAUACACUUCCUACUCACUUUUAAUUUUAUAUUUUAAAAAAAGUAUUAAAGUCAGUCAAACAGAAAAUGAUUAAUUACUUUGAUCAAGCACCUUGGUGGUUACUGGUUGUUGUGUUUAUUUAUUUAGUUAUUUAUAAUUUGCUUUUUCUGAUCCUCAAAAAAUGUUGAUAGUCUGUUAUCUGCAGUGAGUUUGAAUAUUGUUGUUUUAUUGAUUUUACAGACAAAUUCAAGUGAACACUUCUGAAAUA